AAAAUUUCCUCAAUACCCCUCUAAAACUAUCUAAUUUCAUAAAUACCCAUCUAAAAAUUGAAAUAUCAUGUAUACCCUCCUAAAUUUAAAAAACUUUCAAAAAUAACCUUACCAUUAAGUGCCCAUCCAAAUUGAAGUUAAUANUAGAAUUGAGCUCCUAUGCUUUUAAAAGUAUCAAGUUAUUGGUGCUUGUAGAUUUUUAGCCAUUGGAUUAAGAGAUAUGCGGUUAGGAUGAUAUGGGCCCCCUAGGGUUGAGUGGGUGGUUGGUUGAAUAGCAUAAUCUAAUGGUUGAAAAUGAAUCGAGGAGUAGAUCUAACGGUAAAAAACUUACAAGCACUAAAUUCUUGGUACUUUUACAAGCACCAUAGCUUGACUCUAUAUAUAUAUAUAUAUAUAUAUAUAUAUAUUAAUAAAUAAUUUUGUAGUUAUUAGAUAUUAUUAUACUUGAUUUUUUUCUUUUUUUAUU
rnacentral:lncRNA from 1 species